AACGGCCGCGGUAUCCUAACCGUGCAAAGGUAGCAUAAUCACUUGCCUAUUAAUUGUAGGCUAGAAUGAAUGGGUUAACGAAAUAAAGACUGUCUCAAUUAAUCACCUAAAAAUUACUAUCUAUCUGAAGAAGAAUAGAUAACCUCGAAGGACAAGAAGACCCUAUAGAGCUUAAUUUUAAUUAUAGAACUAUACUAUAAAAAUAUUCGGUUGGGGCGACCCAGGGCUAAUCAAUCACCCACUACAUAAAAGAUAAAUUAAUCAAGUAAUUGACCCCUAAAAGAUCAUAAGAACAAGCUACCUUAGGGAUAACAGGCUAAUCCCACUCAAGAGUCCUUAUCAACAGUGGGGUUUGGCACCUCGAUGUUGGCUUAGG
rnacentral:rRNA from 1 species